CCUAUGCUCUGGAUAUGUCUACGUUAUGCUCUACCGGGGGUGCUGUCUCUUUAUAGUUCGGGGGUGACAACAAAGGAUCGGUGUAGUUCGAGAGAGGAGAGAGAGAGAGAGAGAGAGAGAGAGAGAGAGCACUCAAGGUACGGCCAGUGGCGACGGUUAUCUAGAGCGAAAAGGUAGUUGGAGGUUGUCGCCUAGGCCGAAGACACUGACAGUGGAUGGUGCCCCCUUGUAUCCGUUCUGACCACCGUACCGUUAUGAUGCUCCGGCCGCUCCUCACUGCGGCUUAGUGCGGCCGCCUGCGGCCGAUGCGACACCACCCGCAACCCCCCUCGACGAGGUCGUUCCAAGGUGGUACUUCCGGUGGAUGGUGCUGCCCGGUGACGCGUGACCGCAACGAGCUAGGCUGCUGAGGUUCAUCCUCAUUGGCCUAGACUACCGGCCGGAGGGGUACGAGGUAGUUAAAGUCCACAACCAUACAAACACUGUCUCUCGUAGCCAAUAAUAACACCUUACACACACUUUAUGUAACUUUGUACUAAACUUGCUGUACUAAAUACUUAACACCCUAGGUCACCUUAGUUAACUAUAUUAACUCUUCUACUUACUUAG
rnacentral:rRNA from 1 species